GACGAACGCUGGCGGCGUGCCUAACACAUGCAAGUCGAACGGGGUGAGCCUCUUCGGAGACUUACUUAGUGGCGAACGGGUGAGUAACGCGUGAGAAACCUGCCUUUCAGUGGGGGACAACAGUUGGAAACGACUGCUAAUACCGCAUAAUGUUUCGAGAGGGCAUCCUCUUGAAACCAAAGCUUUAUGUGCUGAAAGAUGGUCUCGCGUCUGAUUAGCUAGUUGGUGGGGUAACGGCCUACCAAGGCGACGAUCAGUAGCCGAGCUGAGAGGCUCAACGGCCACAUUGGGACUGAGAUACGGCCCAGACUCCUACGGGAGGCAGCAGUCGGGAAUAUUGCGCAAUGGAGGAAACUCUGACGCAGUGACGCCGCGUAUAGGAAGAAGGUUUUCGGAUUGUAAACUAUUGUCAUUAGGGAAGAAUAAAGACAGUACCUAAGGAGGAAGCCCCGGCUAACUAUG
rnacentral:rRNA from 1 species